rnacentral:rRNA from 1 species
AGGUUGAACGGCCACAUUGGGAAUGAGACACGGCCCAGAUUCCUUCGGGAGGCAGCAGUGGGGGAUAUUGCACAAUGGGGGAAACCCUGAUGCAGCAACGCCGCGUGAGGGAAGAAGGUUUUCGGAUUGUAAACCUCUGUUUUUAGUGAAGAAACAAAUGACGGUAGCUAAAGAGGAAGCCACGGCUAACUACGUGCCAGCAGCCGCGGUAAUACGUAGGUGGCAAGCGUUGUCCGGAAUUACUGGGUGUAAAGGGUGCGCAGGCGGGACUGCAAGUUGGAUGUGAAAUACCGAGGCUCAACCUCGGAGCUGCAUCCAAAACUGUAGUUCUUGAGUGAAGUAGAGGUAAGCGGAAUUCCGAGUGUAGCGGUGAAAUGCGUAGAUAUUCGGAGGAACACCAGUGGCGAAGGCGGCUUACUGGGCUUUAACUGACGCUGAGGCACGAAAGCAUGGGGAGCAAACAGGAUUAGAUACCCUGGUAGUCCACGCCGUAAACGAUGAAUGCUAGGUGUGGGGGGACUGACCCCUUCCGUGCCGGAGUAAACACAAUAAGCAUUCCACCUGGGGAGUACGACCGCAAGGUUGAAACUCAAAGGAAUUGACGGGGGCCCGCACAAGCAGUGGAGUAUGUGGUUUAAUUCGAAGCAACGCGAAGAACCUUACCAGGUCUUGACAUCCAACUAACGAACUAGAGAUAGAUUAGGUGCCCUUCGGGGAAAGUUGAGACAGGUGGUGCAUGGUUGUCGUCAGCUCGUGUCGUGAGAUGUUGGGUUAAGUCCCGCAACGAGCGCAACCCCUGCCAUUAGUUGCUACGCAAGAGCACUCUAAUGGGACCGCUACCGACAAGGUGGAGGAAGGUGGGGACGACGUCAAAUCAUCAUGCCCCUUAUGAUUUGGGCUACACACGUGCUACAAUGGCGUAAACAAAGGGAAGCGAGAGGGUGACCUUGAGCAAACCCCAAAAAUAACGUCCCAGUUCGGACUGUAGUCUGCAACUCGACUACACGAAGCUGGAAUCGCUAGUAAUCGCGGAUCAGAAUGCCGCGGUGAAUACGUUCCCGGGUCUUGCACUCACCGCCCGUCAA